rnacentral:rRNA from 1 species
CAAGCGUUGUUCGGAAUUACUGGGCGUAAAGGGCUCGUAGGCGGCCAACUAAGUCGGACGUGAAAUCCCUCGGCUUAACCGGGGAACUGCGUCCGAUACUGGAUGGCUUGAGUUCGGGAGAGGGAUGCGGAAUUCCAGGUGUAGCGGUGAAAUGCGUAGAUAUCUGGAGGAACACCGGUGGCGAAGGCGGCAUCCUGGACCGAAACUGACGCUGAGGAGCGAAAGCGUGGGUAGCAAACAGG